rnacentral:rRNA from 1 species
CAGUCUGCAACUCGACUGCACGAAGCUGGAAUCGCUAGUAAUCGCGGAUCAGCACGCCGCGGUGAAUACGUUCCCGGGCCCUGUACACACCGCCCGUCACACCAUGGAAGUCUGCAAUGCCCGAAGCCGGUGGCCUAACCACUUAUGUGGAAGGAGCCGUCUAAGGCAGGGCAGAUGACUGGGGUGAAGUCGUAACAAGGUAGC